GCCGGGCAUGGUGGCACAUGCCUGUAAUCCCAGCUACUUGGGAGGCUGAGGCAGGAGAAUUGCUUGAAUCCAGGAGGCAAAGGUUGCAGUGAGCCAAGAUCACGCCACUGCACUCCAGCCUGGGUGACAGAGCAAGAUUCCGUCUCAA
rnacentral:SRP_RNA from 2 species